rnacentral:rRNA from 1 species
GGCUUAACACAUGCAAGUCGAGGGGCAUGAGGAAGAAAGCUUGCUUUCUUUGCUGGCGACCGGCGCACGGGUGAGUAACACGUAUCCAACCUGCCCUUUACUCGGGGAUAGCCUUUCGAAAGAAAGAUUAAUACCCGAUGGCAUAAUGAUUCCGCAUGGUUUCAUUAUUAAAGGAUUCCGGUAAAGGAUGGGGAUGCGUUCCAUUAGGUUGUUGGUGAGGUAACGGCUCACCAAGCCUUCGAUGGAUAGGGGUUCUGAGAGGAAGGUCCCCCACAUUGGAACUGAGACACGGUCCAAACUCCUACGGGAGGCAGCAGUGAGGAAUAUUGGUCAAUGGGCGCUAGCCUGAACCAGCCAAGUAGCGUGAAGGAUGAAGGCUCUAUGGGUCGUAAACUUCUUUUAUAUAAGAAUAAAGUGCAGUAUGUAUACUGUUUUGUAUGUAUUAUAUGAAUAAGGAUCGGCUAACUCCGUGCCAGCAGCCGCGGUAAUACGGAGGAUCCGAGCGUUAUCCGGAUUUAUUGGGUUUAAAGGGAGCGUAGGUGGACUGGUAAGUCAGUUGUGAAAGUUUGCGGCUCAACCGUAAAAUUGCAGUUGAUACUGUCAGUCUUGAGUACAGUAGAGGUGGGCGGAAUUCGUGGUGUAGCGGUGAAAUGCUUAGAUAUCACGAAGAACUCCGAUUGCGAAGGCAGCUCACUGGACUGCAACUGACACUGAUGCUCGAAAGUGUGGGUAUCAAACAGGAUUAGAUACCCUGGUAGUCCACACAGUAAACGAUGAAUACUCGCUGUUUGCGAUAUACAGUAAGCGGCCAAGCGAAAGCAUUAAGUAUUCCACCUGGGGAGUACGCCGGCAACGGUGAAACUCAAAGGAAUUGACGGGGGCCCGCACAAGCGGAGGAACAUGUGGUUUAAUUCGAUGAUACGCGAGGAACCUUACCCGGGCUUAAAUUGCAGUGGAAUGAUGUGGAAACAUGUCAGUGAGCAAUCACCGCUGUGAAGGUGCUGCAUGGUUGUCGUCAGCUCGUGCCGUGAGGUGUCGGCUUAAGUGCCAUAACGAGCGCAACCCUUAUCUUCAGUUACUAACAGGUCAUGCUGAGGACUCUGGAGAGACUGCCGUCGUAAGAUGUGAGGAAGGUGGGGAUGACGUCAAAUCAGCACGGCCCUUACGUCCGGGGCUACACACGUGUUACAAUGGGGGGUACAGAAGGCAGCUAGCGGGUGACCGUAUGCUAAUCCCAAAAUCCUCUCUCAGUUCGGAUCGAAGUCUGCAACCCGACUUCGUGAAGCUGGAUUCGCUAGUAAUCGCGCAUCAGCCACGGCGCGGUGAAUACGUUCCCGGGCCUUGUACACACCGCCCGUCAAGCCAUGGGAGCCGGGGGUACCUGAAGUACGUAACCGCAAGGAUCGUCCUAGGGUAAAACUGGUGACUGGGGCU